UCCACCUCAACAUUAGGAAGAACUUCUUGAUGGACAAAAGGAAGAUGAAAAGAAAAUCCAGCAUUGAAAGCGCACUUCAUGAAGAAAGUAUCAAUCCCUGGUUCUGAAAUCAUCGCCAGCCUGUUUAGAAGUUAAAACAAGCCUCGUCCAGUGAUCAGCAUGAAUAAAUAUCCAGUCUUCAUCUGUCUUCCACCUUUUCCCUGUCAAGACAUAAUGGGCCUCAACUCCAUUUGAUUCUCCUGGAUUGCACUGAUUCAUGGGGAACUGGGCAAGCAGAUUAAUGUCCAAAAGACAGCAAUUAGUUCUGACACAU